GUGCUCACUUCGGCAGCUCAUAUAAUAAAAUUUGAAUGAUACAGAGGUUAGCGUGGUCCCUGCGCAAGGAUGAAACUCAUAUUCGUGAAGCGUCCCCUACUUUU